rnacentral:rRNA from 1 species
GUUGACCUCGGAUCAGGUAGGACUACCCGCUGAACUUAAGCAUAUCAAUAAACGGAAAAAAACA